GGAGCGAGUGUAGAGUCGAGAGUCAAGUGGAAAAGUUGUCAAAAGCGGUUGUUACUAAAUCUAAAUUUCGUCAUAAGUCUAUAUAAUUAAAUGUUAAGCUAUAUUUUUUGUUUAAAUAAACCAUAUAAGCGGAAAACUUGCCCUCGUCCUUGCAGUACUUCGAUUAAAUGUUGAAUUGACCCUUGAGCAGAUCUGCUGCGUCGUUGUCGUUCUUUUGCCUAAAUUGGCAGUAUGAUUUAAGCGCAUAAUUAAUGAAAAGAAAUAACCGAAAUAAAGUAUUGUCGAGACCAAAAAACGUUUAGAAAACGUAUUACCUGUCAAGAUUAUUGGGAAAUAAUGACCCGGGAGAAGUUCUCUAUUGGUUUUGCGCUCCAACAAUUUUUCUUGAAGUUAAAGUUAUGCUAACGAAUCGGUCGGAUGCGGAAAUAUAGACCUUGAGGUCGCGUUUCCACUCUUCAAUAAUGCAAUCAUGCUCGCUCAUGAUUCCAUUCUGGACAUUGCAACAAAUGCCGCAUGCAUAUACAUUGCGCACAAGAACAAUUCAGAGAACAGGGCUGGUUACAAGCCCAGAAAGGCAAGGAGACAACAGAGGGCCGAGAAAAGCCUCCCUGCUGGUUGCACAAGCAAUCGGCGACAAACGCCUUGGAAUGGCACGGUCUAUUCUCUGACUAGAGCUUCAAAUUACCGCAAGCCGAUAUUGACGACCCAGAGAAAGCAGCUAACACCUCGAUCGGCCAUUUCAAAUCCAGGCGUCAUCGGUGCUGUCAAUCCAAUAUAAAAAUUGUCUUUAAGUAGCCUGGGAGGCGAGAAGAGGAAGUCAGCAGGAUGGUAAAACCUAAGCCACCGCUAUACGCCGCGCUGAGCCCUAGUGGCUCGGCGAUUGUUAAAAAGUUUAAAAG
rnacentral:sRNA from 1 species